rnacentral:rRNA from 1 species
AGAGUUUGAUCCUGGCUCAGGAUGAACGCUGGCGGCAUGUCUAAGGCAUGCAAGUCGAAUGGUGUACUUCGGUACACCAUGGCAAACGGGAGAGUAACACAUUGGUAAUUUACCCUAGGGUCGAGGAUAACUCCGAGAAAUCGGAGAUAAUACUCGAUAUUAGUGGGGGGACAUAUGUCAUUCCCACUUAAAGUUCCGGCGCCCUGGGAGAAGCCUAUGGUCUAUCAGCUUGUUGGUGAGGUAAAAGCUCACCAAGGCUACGACGGAUAGCGGGUGUGAGAGCAUGACCCGUCUCACUGGGACUGAGACACUGCCCAGACUCCUACGGGAGGCUGCAGUCGAGAAUCUUCCUCAAUGGCCGAAAGGCUGAAGGAGCAAUGCCGCGUGAUUGAAGACGCCCUUCGGGGUGUAAAAAUCUUUUAACUGGGACGAAACAAUGACGGUACCAGUUGAAUAAGGGGCUGCUAACCUCGUGCCAGCAGCAGCGGUAAUACGAGGGCCCCUAGCGUUAUCCGGAUUUAUUGGGCGUAAAGGGUCCGCAGGCUGUUUGUCACAUCUUCUGUUAAAUCUAUCGGCUCAACCGGUAGGCCGCGGAAGAGA